GGAGGAGCUUGAUAAGACGUGCUGCUCUGAACAACCGCAGGAAGCUGAGAUUGAUAAAGUUAUUCUGGUGAAAGCAAAGAAUUCAGGGUCACCAAGGGACAACGUUGGCAGCAUUUAUCAGGAUGAGAAAAUUUACACCAGAUGAUAUUGGACUUGAUCUGAAUUGAGCUAACCUGCUGAUGGAAAAUGCCAACAAAAACCCAUUCCAAAUCAUCAUUGCAAUUCAAAAAGCUAAUUUAGGCCAGAUUUGAAGCAGGUUACACUUCAAACUCUCCUCGAUAGAUUAUAAAGGUUGUGUACUCCCAAAGUCUGUCAUCAGCGUGGCAAAAGGAAAACAGGUUUGGGCCGAAUAAACUGCUACAGUGAAUACCACACACUCCUGCACAUCAGAUCACAGCAGCAGCAGAAAGAAAAAGCUUCACCUCUGCCAUUUUUCAUGCACCAAUUAACCAGAAAAGCAAAUUAUAAAGCAAACCGAUUCCAAUCAAACAAGAGUUCUUAAAUUGAUGAAACCAACCCGUUGCUACAUGUUGAUGUUGUUCAUGGAUGAUUGAUGUUGGCAGGAUGCAAAGAAAGGUUGUGGUGUUUUUUGGGAGGGAGCAGCAGGUGUACAACAUACAGACGAAUACAUGGGUUUUCAUAUUGUGUGUUGAUUGAAUGGCGUGAUUCAGCAGGACCGUUGGAGAAAAUAAGGAACAAAAACAAGAGGAAAUGAGAAAUCAGAUGAGCAAAAUCAAACUCACUUUUAAAAAAAAAAGACAUCACUUCAAUCAUAUUACAGUCCAGCAAAUCAGUGUUAGAACUCAUGACCUGCACAGUGAUGCUGAAAAGGACUACCUUGGAGUAAAUCAGAAUGUGGGGUCAUUGCAGAUUUACCAGAAAAUAAAAACCAAUACACAAAUAAGGAGCGACAAUUUUUAGUCAACUAGUCACCAAUUGAAUAGCAAUUUUAUAAUCGAAUAACCAUGUGACAUGUAACACAAAAGAUCUAAAAAUUCUAUGUUGCCACCAGCUUUUAAUAAAUGACAGCAAUUUAAGCACAUCAUUUUUUGUUACAAGGAAUAGCUUACUUGUUAUUUAUUUCUUACUUAGGUAUUUAGAACUUUUUUAAUGCAUUGAAUGCCACCUUAAAUCAAUA